rnacentral:rRNA from 1 species
GACAGAGGGUGCAAACGUUGUUCGGAAUUACUGGGCGUAAAGCGCGUGUAGGCUGCUCAGAAAGUCGGAUGUGAAAGCCCUGGGCUUAACCUAGGAAGUGCGCCCGAAACUGCAGAGCUUGAGUACCGGAGAGGAUGGCGGAAUUCCCCAAGUAGAGGUGAAAUUCGUAGAUAUGGGGAGGAACACCGGUGGCGAAGGCGGCCAUCUGGACGGAUACUGACGCUGAGACGCGAAAGCGUGGGUAGCAAACAGG